ACUAGGAAUUUUGCGCAAUGGGGGCAACCCUGACGCAGCGACACAGCGUGGAGGAGGAAGGUCUUCGGAUUGUAAACUCCUUUUAUAUGGGAAGAAUAGAUGACUGUACCAUAUGAAUAAGCACCUGCUAACUACGUGCCAGAAGCAUCGGUGAUGCGUAGGGUGCGAACGUUAUCCGGAUUUAUUGGGCGUAAAGAGAUGCGUAGGCGUUUCAGUUAGUCUUUCGUUAAAAGUCACGGCUUAACCGUGAAGAUGCGUUGGAUACUGCUGAAAUUGAGACAUGAAGGGGUGAACGGAACUCCAAGUGGAGCGGUGAAAUGCGUUGAUAUUUGGAAGAACAUCAGAGGCGAAGGCGGUUCACUGGUCAUUGUCUGACGCUAAGGCUCGAAAGCGUGGGUAGCAAAACGGAUUAGAAACCCCUGUAGUCC
rnacentral:rRNA from 1 species